ACCUGCCCAUCAGCGGGGGAUAACACUUGGAAACAGGUGCUAAUACCGCAUAAUGCUUUUUCUCACAUGAGGGAAAGCUGAAAGGCGCUUUUGCGUCACUGAUGGAUGGACCCGCGGUGCAUUAGCUAGUUGGUAGGGUAACGGCCUACCAAGGCAACGAUGCAUAGCCGACCUGAGAGGGUGAUCGGCCACACUGGGACUGAGACACGGCCCAGACUCCUACGGGAGGCAGCAGUAGGGAAUCUUCGGCAAUGGACGAAAGUCUGACCGAGCAACGCCGCGUGAGUGAAGAAGGUUUUCGGAUCGUAAAACUCUGUUGUUAGAGAAGAACAAGGAUGAGAAGAGAAUGUUCAUCCC
rnacentral:rRNA from 1 species